UGGGGCCCCGGGCCACACCAUCAGGAAGUGAAGUGUCAUGGCUGAGCCAGGCAGCUCCACCAGCUCUCUGGGUGCCUCUCCCUCUUCCGUAAGGCGGACAGGCCAGACCUGUGAAGCCGUCGUGAACUUGGAGGGAAAGUCCGUGUCAGAUCUGCUCCUUUCCCCAGAGGGCCGGCAAGACCCCGCACACUCUGGCCCUGCUCUCCCUGACAUAACGGUCCCCAGACCGGGCGGGAGGAGCAAGCCCAGACCCCAAGAUCCCGCAGCUGCGCACCUUGGGCUUAGCCUCCUCACCCGUUUCUGCAGGCGCCCUGGCUUCCCCAGAGGUGUUACUAGUUUGAACAAACCUCCCUCUUCAGAUGCUUUGUCUUAUGCUGCUCUGAAGCUUUUGCUGCUGGACACUGGCCUGAGUGCAGCCUCCUGGAGAUGGUUCCCUUGUGAAAAGAUGUUAUCUUGGGACCAGAGGAUUCUAAUGUGUCAGUUCUUCAAGCAUCUUGUACAUCAGACAGUCAGCCCUUCUCCUGUCAUGUUUCCCAUUGGAGACGAAGAGAUGUACCCCUGAUCCCCGCGUGAUGACUUCUCUUCCGAAAGGCUGCCUCUACCCCUUUGCUUGGGUUUUCUGAGAACUGCGAGAGUAUCUUUUGUGUGUGUGUGUUUGUAUUUUUUUAAGUAUAGUUGAUCGACGAUGUGGUGCCAGUGUCUGCUCUACAGCAAGCUGACCCAGUCAUAUGUAUACACACAUUCUUUCUCUCGUGUCACCCCCAUCACCGUCUGUCCCGAGAGACUGGGUACAGUUCCCUGUGCUUAUGGCAGGACUUCAUUCCCCAUCCAUUCUAAAUGUAACAGUUUGCAUCUACUAACCUCAAACUCCCAGUCCAUCCCACUAUGUGUGAGCACCUUGAAUGCCACUAGAAUUCACAUCUUCUUACACAAGCUGACACCCGAGUCCCUGUGAGAACUCCACCGAUCAUCCCUCAAGCUCCAAAGGGGCUUCAAGAUGCCCCUGAAUGUCAGGGAAGGGACCCCAGGGCCCAGCACAGAGAUGUGGGCAGCAGGCAGUCUUCUGAUGGGCUGAAGCUUGGUGCUCAGCGUGCCAUCUCUUGGGCCACCCUGACUCCCGUGCAUUGCACUCAUUCCCAUAGAUGGGCAAAGGCUGAGGCCAGUCAGGGCUGAGGAAGGUCAAGCAGCACUUUGGGAAGAUGGGCCCUACUGGGCCAACCUGUGGCGAAGGGGUGUGGAGGGUUCGCUUCUUAACCGGCAAGAUCCUCUCUGUAACUAACAAAAUGCAACAAUGUAUUAAAAACAAUACAGCAUGACCAAAGGAGCUUUGAAACACAAAUGCAGGGAUGGUUCAAUAGAUUAAAGAAAUUUCAAAACCUAGGAGUUCCUGUUGUGGUUCAGAGGUAAUGAAACCUCCUCGUAUCCGUGAGCACAUGGAUUCAAACCCUGGCCUCG
rnacentral:lncRNA from 1 species